rnacentral:rRNA from 1 species
CCCGGGUCUUGUACACACCGCCCGUCACACCAUGGGAGCGGGUUCUGCCAGAAGUAGUUAGCCUAACCGCAAGGGGGGCGAUUACCACGGCAGGGUUCGUGACUGGGGUGAAGUCGUAACAAGGUACCC